ACCUGGUUGAUCCUGGCAGUAGUCAUAUGGUUGUCUCAAAGAUUAAGGCAUGGCAUGUCUCAGUAUAAGUGUUUCACUGCGCAAACUGCGAAUGGGUCAUUAAAACAGUUAUAGUUUCCAUGGCAGUUGGUUAUUACCUGGAUAUGCACGGGAAUUCUAGAGGUAAUACAUGGGUCCAGACCCGACUUUUGCGGAAGGGUUGUGCUUAUUAGACACUGAACCAUCCCGGCUUGCCCGGUUUCGAGGGGAUUGAUGGUAAUCGAACGAAUCGCAUGGUUCGGCGGCGAUGAUUCAUUCAAGUUUCUGACCUAUCAGCUUCCGACGGUAGGGUAUUGGCCUACCGUGGCUUUGACGGGUAACGGAGAAUUAGGGUUUGAUUCCGGAGAGGGAGCCUGAGAAACGGCUACCACAUCUAAGGAAGGCAGCAGGCGCGCAAAUUACCCAUCCUGACACAGGGAGGUAGUGACAAGAAAUACCAAUAUGAGGCUCUUUUGUCUUGUAAUUGGAAUGAGCACAAUUCAAAAAGCUGUUCGAGUAUCGAUUGGAGGGCAAGUCUGGUGCCAGCAGCCGCGGUAAUUCCAGCUCCAAUAGCGUAUAUUAAAGUUGUUGCGGUUAAAAAGCUCGUAGUUGGAGUUCUGCCAGGUGCCGCCUGUCCGCCCCAGUGGUGAGUGCGUGGCGCGCAUUUGGCCCUUUCAAGGGGAGCGUAUCUGCACUUUAUUGUGUGGUGCGGGAUCCUUGACUUUUACUUUGAGGAAAUAGGAGUGUUCCAAGCAGGCUCUCGUCGUGCACAGCUCAGCAUGGAAUAAUAGCAUUGGACCUCGAUUCUAAGCUGUUGGUUGCCAGAAGCGAGGUAAUGAUGAAGAGGGAUAGUUGGGGGCAUUCGUAUUUAACUGUCAGAGGUGAAAUUCUGGAUUUGUUAAAGACGGACUACUGCGAAAGCAUCUGCCAUGGAUGUUUUCAUUGAUCAGAACAAAAGUUAGGGGAUCGAAGACGAUCAGAUACCGUCCUAGUCUUAACUAUAAACCAUGCCGCCUAGAGAUCGGAGGUUGUUCGUUUUGUGACGCCUUCACCAUCUUGAGAGAAAUCAAACCCUUUGGGUUCGGGGGGGAGUAUGGUGCCAAGCCUGAAACUUAAA
rnacentral:rRNA from 1 species